rnacentral:rRNA from 1 species
UACGUAGGGUGCGAGCGUUUAAUCGGAAUUACUGGGCGUAAAGCGUGCGCAGGCGGUUCGUUGUGUCGGCGGUGAAAGCCCCGGGCUUAACCUGGGAAUGGCCGCGAAACUGGCGAACUGGAGUGUGGCAGAGGGGGGUGGAAUUCCGCGUGUAGCAGUGAAAUGCGUAGAGAUGCGGAGGAACACCGAUGGCGAAGGCAGCCCCCUGGGCUGACACUGACGCUCAGGCACGAAAGCGUGGGGAGCAAACAGG